AGUGACAGAGUGAGGGAGGUAGUGACAGUCACCACCUCCCUCACUCUGUCACUAGUCACUCCUUCCUUCCCUCACUCUGCCACUAGUCACCCCCUCACUCUCGUGACAGAGUGAGGGAGGGGGUGACUAGUGACAGAGUUAGGGAGGGAAGGGGGUGACUAGUGAUAGAGGGAGGGGUGACUAGGGACAGUCACCCCCUCCCUCACUCUGUCACUAGUCACCCCCUCCCUCACUCUGUCACUAGUCACUCCCUCCCUCCCUCACUCUGUCACCAGUCAUCCCCUCACUCUGUCACUAGUAACCCCUCCCUUCCCUCACUCUGUCACUAGUCACCCCCUCACUCUAGUGACAGAGUG